CAACCAUGCUUCUUCAAAGUAUACCUUUCCUUCACGGCAAGGCUAUUCUUCUCUUGGAGAUUAAAGGAUCAACUUGAUUUGAGGUGCGGUUUUGCCAAGCAAGAACCAAGUGGUGUCCAGUUGAGUGGGAGUGUGACAUUUAGGUGAAGUCUAAAGAUGAAACCUAUUAUUCUGUUGUGGAUACUUGCUGCAAUCGGCUGCUCGACUACAAAACACAUGCCGCUGGAAGACCAUAGGGGUAUGUACCGCUUUAUGAUUCUCAUCAUAU